CCGCGCUCCUGUUCCUCCCGCCACCACUGGGAAACUCAGCAGAAUGAUCCCCUUCUCGGGGAGAACAAUCUCUCCCCAGAGAGCGGUGUCAGCGGAGGGUGUGAGAUUGAAAUUAGAAGCAAGUGCUGGAAAUGGUGCAGGUCGUGCGGCUUCUAUGAGGAGAGAAACAGAGUCGCUGUUGAAGUUGGAGUAGAGCAGGAAGGACAGGCUUUUGUAUUUUGGAGAUGGACAGAAUAUGUGAAAAUCAAGCUGAGCCAAUAUCAUGGAUGACUGAUGAGAAAUGGAGGACCUCAAGAGCAGUGACCUCCAGAUUACUCCUGGUGCCAUGUACUGCAGAGUUCAGUAAUAGUAAGAAUGUCUGGAAACCAGCCUGCAACUUCCACUGAGAUGUCUAGGAAAAGCAUUAACAUGGAUAUGAAACUGCAAGUAAUAUUGUGUUUGGAAGGUUGAUGUUGACACCUGUUUGAAAUUGGCUACAUCGACGAUCAGAACAAUCAUAAAAACAGCAAACAAGAUAAAAGCUUCUGCAACAAUGAUCUCGAAGUUAUCAUCAAUGAAGGUGACUUUUUUAUGGAGCCAUUUGUUUGAAAAAAUAAAAAAUAGACUAAAUAUAUGGGUGGAUGACCAAACUCAAUGAAACAUGUCCGUAAGUCAGCUGAUAAUAAUGCAAAAGGCAAGAAGCAUCUUCAAUCAUAUUCAAAAUGAAGAAAUGUUGGUAACAUUCAUAGCCAGCAGAGGUUGGUUUGAUAGAUUUAAACAGCGCAGUAACCUCCAAAGUAUAUGCAUCUCAGGUGAAGUGGCUAGUGCAGACAGCAAGGCACCCAGGAUUUUCCUGCAACAUUGAAGAAGAAAGCCCUUAACUCCGAGUGGAGUCAUCGGGACGCCGUCGUGACGGUGUUCUUUUAGCAGGCUUUCUUGUUUUUACGAGACCAAGUUGCUAGCUCAACGCUCAACCCAGCACAGAUGGAAAGCGUGCAAGGGGGCCGGCUGGAUUCGAACUCAGGAGCCUUCGCUCUGAAGUCCGGCGCUGAUGGCACUACGCCACCAACCAGCUUGCAACGCUGAAGACCACAAUCGAAAAGGAUGAUUAUCCUCCCGAGCUUGUCUUCAAGAUGGAUGAAACAGGCCUCUUUUGGAAAAGAAUGCCUUCUCGUACUUUCAUCUCCCAAGACGAGAAACAUGCAUCUGGAUUCAAGGCUGUAAAGGACUGGUUAACUCUCUUGCUAGGAGACAAUGCUAAAGGUGACUUCAAGUUAAAACCUAUGAUUGUGUAUCACUCUGAAACACCAUGAGCAAUGAAAGGCAUUUAUAAGUCAAGUCUACCAGUGAUUAGGAAAUGAAACAAGAAAGCCUAGGUGACAAUUGAUGUUUUCAAAAAUUGGUUUGUUUCACAUUUUUGUUCAGCAGUGAAGCAGUAUUGUGAGGAACAUGACCUUGAACCUAAAGCAUUAUUGGUGCUUGAUAAUGCCCCAGGCCAUCCUGAGCAUCUCAACACCCUUUGGACCUACAUUCCUGUAGAAGCGGUUUAACUUCCACCCAACUCCAACCAAUGGGUCAAGGAGUAAUAUCAAAAUUGAAAGCCUACUACCUUCAUUGCACAUUCAAGCAACUUGUAGAGGAAAUAAAAAGGUUAAGACAAGCAAUCCAUCAGACAAUUGUGGAAAAACCAUAACAUCAUGAAAGCUGUAGAAAAUAUCAAAGCAGCCUGAGAUGAAGUAAACAGCAUGAAUAGAGUGUGAAAGAAACUAUGGCUGGAAGCAUGCAACGACAUCCUAGGAUUUCAGUUGGAACCAGUCAUCCAAAUCAUCGUUGAACUGGCCAGUGAAGUGGGAUUAGAGGUUGUUAAUGAUGAUGAUGUUGAAGAGUUACUGCAUUCUCAUGGUGAGAGCCUUAGUAAAAAAGAGCUGCAAGAACUGGCAGAGCAAUGCUUCCUGGGUGAAUCUGAGGACGCGAAUGGAGAAGAGGAAGUGCUCCCAUGUGAAAGGGGUAGACCCGUAACGAAGUCCAGCGCAAUGUGCGACCAAGGGCAGCUAGGGACAAGUAGGGGACGAAGCAAUCCAGCAGGUGGUCGGUGGGACGCUUUUCCGCCGGCACAAACAGGACAGGCAGAGACAAAGGAACGGGUAUCAGCGUCCAUGGAGGGCCACCAGAAAUGUCUCUUCGAAAGGGACAGAGUCCGAUCGAUUCCGGGAUGGCAGGCGAAAUGAGAAGUGUGCCCCCACUGGAGAACCUGAGACCAAACCGAGUCAGGCACGAAGAGUUGAUUGGAGGGUCCAUUGCCUGGGUCAGGUUGAGUCCGUUGGGCCUCUUUGACUAUGGCCUCGAUCUCCCAGGUGAGGGCAGCCAGUACACAGGAUGGUGGAAGGAUGGUCUCGGGGUUGGGAAGGUCCUCCUCGGAAAUGUAUUGAUGGGAGAGAGCAUCGAGGCUUCCCGUUCUUGGACCCCAGACGAUAGGUGAGUGUGAACCUGAACCAACCAAAAAAAAAUGCCCAACAUGCUUGUCGGGAAUUCAGGCGCUUGGCGGUUUAGAUGUAUGCGAGGUUCUUGUGAUUGGUCCAGACGAUAAACGGAUGUUCCGCUCCCUCCAGCCAGUGCCUCCAUUCCUCUAAAGCCAGUUUGACGGCCAGUAACUCCUGGUUCCCUAUGUCGUAAUUUCGUUCGGCAGGGGACAGCUGGCAAGAAAAGAAGGAACAAGGAUGAAGUUUUUGGUCAGGCCCGGAACGUUGGGAGAGGACCGCUCCCACCGCAGAGUCGGAGGUGUCAACCUCCACAAUGAAUUAACAAGAGGGGUCUGGUUGGACUGGGAUGGGAGCGGAAGUGAAACGCCUCUUCAAGAGUGCUGAGUCAGCUUCGGGGUCCCAGUGAAAAGGGGUCGGAGGUGAGGUGAGUCGAGUAAGGAGCGCUGCCACCGGACUGUAAUCCCUGAUAAACCAGCGAUAGAAGUUCGCAAACCCCAGAGAACGCUGGAGUUGCUUGCGUGUCGUGGGUUUUGGCCUCUCCGCCGCCAGCCGGAUCUUUUCGGGAUCCGCUCUCACUCACCCGCUCUUGAUCAUGUACCCUAAGAAGCUGACUGAGGGGACAUGAAACUCGCACUUGUCAGCUUUAACGAAUAGUUUGUUCUCCCAAAGCCUCUGUAGAACCUGACGGACAUAGUGGGUGUGUUCCUGAAGUCUGCUGGAGAAGAUUAAGAUGUCAUCCAAAUAAGCAAACACAAAACGGUUAAUAAAGUCUCUAAGGACAUGGUUUAUCAAGGCUUGGAAGACGGCGGGGGCAUUGGUGAGACCGAAUGGCAUGACCAGGUAUUCAAAGUGACCAAGAGGGGUGUUAAAAGCUGUUUUCCACUUAUCUCCCUCCCUUAUUCUGACCGGAUGGUAGGCACUUCGUAGGUCCAACUUGGAGAAGAUGGUGGCUCCAUGAAGUGCUUCGAAAGUAGAAUUGAUAGGGGGCGGUGGAUACUUGUUCUUUAUGGUUAUGCUAUUUAGGCCUCGAUAAUCAAUGCAGGGGCGCAGUGAGCCGUCUUUCUUCCCCACAAAGAAGAAACUUGCACCAACAGGGGAGGAUGAGGGUCGGAUAAUGCCUGCUGUGAGAGAUUCAUUUAGGCUUCUUUUGAAGACCCUGACCUGGAGCUAUACACUGACUACAGUUCUUUGUGGGAAUGGGUCCUGCUCUCAGGGUUUCAUGAGUGGUUGUUAUUCAGCGCACCAAGGGUGUGGCCUAAGAGCUCAGCUCACCUUCGGAGGACUGAGAUUUAAUGGCUCUGGAGAUGGGGGAUCAGAGGUCGGUGUCCAGGCAGGAGAUUGGUGUUUUGUGGGAGAUGGAAGAUCUAAGGCUAUGUGCCCAGAGACUUGAGAUCUUUGGGCACAGAGCUCGGAAAAAGAGACAUAACAGACUUAACAUCAUAAACCAGUGAAUUGUUUAUUAUGUCUCCCCUCUCGCUGUGAAAUGGAGACAUCUCUUUCUCCCUUAUUAGGGAGUGAGAGAGCCUGUGGUAUGUUGAAUACCGGGUGAACAAGUAGUCUUUGGGGUACUGUAAGUCUGUGUCUUUGCUGUUGCUUUGCUCACGCUUGAGUGUUCGGUGGCAGGUGCUGACGCUU